GUGGGGAAUCUUCCGCAAUGGGCGAAAGCCUGACGGAGCAAUGCCGCGUGGAGGCAGAAGGCCCACGGGUCGUAAACUCCUUUUCUCGGAGAAGAAGCAAUGACGGUAUCCGAGGAAUAAGCAUCGGCUAACUCUGUGCCAGCAGCCGCGGUAAGACAGGGGAUGCAAGCGUUAUCCGGAAUGAUUGGGCGUAAAGCGUCUGUAGGUGGCUCCUUAAGUCCGCUGUCAAAUCCCAGGGCUCAACCCUGGACAGGCGGUGGAAACUACUAAGCUGGAGUACGGUAGGGGCAGAGGGAAUUUCCGGUGGAGCGGUGAAAUGCGUAGAGAUCGGAAAGAACACCAAAGGCGAAGGCACUCUGCUGGGCCGACACUGACACUGAGAGACGAAAGCUAGGGGAGCAAAUGGGAUUAGAUACCCCAGUAGUCCUAGCCGUAAACGAUGGAUACUAAUCGCUGCGCGUAUCGACCCGUGCAGUGCUGUAGCUAACGCGUUAAGUAUCCCGCCUGGGGAGUACGUUCGCAAGAA
rnacentral:rRNA from 1 species